CGCGGCCUAUCAGCUUGUUGGUGGGGUAAUGGCCUACCAAGGCGACGACGGGUAGCCGGCCUGAGAGGGCGACCGGCCACACUGGGACUGAGACACGGCCCAGACUCCUACGGGAGGCAGCAGUGGGGAAUAUUGCACAAUGGGCGAAAGCCUGAUGCAGCGACGCCGCGUGAGGGAUGACGGCCUUCGGGUUGUAAACCUCUUUCAGCAGGGAAGAAGCGAAAGUGACGGCACCUGCAGAAGAAGCGCCGGCUAACUACGUGCCAGCAGCCGCGGUAAUACGUAGGGCGCAAGCGUUGUCCGGAAUUAUUGGGCGUAAAGAGCUCGUAGGCGGCUUGUCACGUCGGGUGUGAAAGCCCGGGGCUUAACCCCGGGUCUGCAUCCGAUACGGGCAGGCUAGAGUGUGGUAGGGGAGAUCGGAAUUCCUGGUGUAGCGGUGAAACGCGCAGAUAUCAGGAGGAACACCGGUGGCGAAGGCGGAUCUCUGGGCCAUUACUGACGCUGAGGAGCGAAAGCGUGGGGAGCGAACAGGCUUAGAUACCCUGGUAGUCCACGCUGUAAACGGUGGGUACUAGGUGUGGGGUCCAUUCCACGGGUUCCGCGCCGUAGCUAACGCUUUAAGUACCCCGCCUGGGGAGUACGG
rnacentral:rRNA from 1 species